CAGUCGCCGCGGGAAUACGAAGGGGGCUAGCGUUGUUCGGAAUUACUGGGCGUAAAGGGCGCGUAGGCGGCCAUUCAAGUUAGAUGUGAAAGCCCUGGGCUCAACCUAGGAAUUGCAUUUGAUACUGUUUGGCUUGAGUUCGGGAGAGGUGAGUGGAAUUCCCAGUGUAGAGGUGAAAUUCGUAGAUAUUGGGAAGAACACCAGUGGCGAAGGCGGCUCACUGGACCGACACUGACGCUGAGGCGCGAAAGCGUGGGGAGCAAACAGGAUUAGAUACCCGCGUAGUCCCUGUCUCUUAUAC
rnacentral:rRNA from 1 species